rnacentral:rRNA from 1 species
GACGAACGCUGGCGGCGUGCCUAAUACAUGCAAGUCGAGCGAGACUCUUCGGAGUCUAGCGGCGGACGGGUGAGUAACACGUGGACAACCUGCCUGUAAGACUGGGAUAACACCGGGAAACCGGUGCUAAUACCGGAUAAUCCUUUUCCUCUCAUGAGGAAAAGCUGAAAGUCGGUUUCGGCUGACACUUACAGAUGGGCCCGCGGCGCAUUAGCUAGUUGGUGAGGUAACGGCUCACCAAGGCGACGAGGCGUAGCCGACCUGAGAGGGUGAUCGGCCACACUGGGACUGAGACACGGCCCAGACUCCUACGGGAGGCAGCAGUAGGGAAUCUUCCACAAUGGACGAAAGUCUGAUGGAGCAACGCCGCGUGAGCGAUGAAGGCCUUCGGGUCGUAAAGCCCUGUUGUUAGGGAAGAACAAGUACCGGAGUAACUGCCGGUACCUUGACGGUACCUAACUAGAAAGCCACGGCUAACUACGUGCCAGCAGCCGCAGUAA